AUGUCGUGGUCGUCGAGUGUCGCGUCCGCUCCCGGAUACCGUCGAGCUGCAGGAAGGAGGGGGGAGGAGUCGCGCUCGCCGGUGCGCUACCGCGAGAAUCCAAUGUGCCACUGCAAUCCUCCGAGGAAGGCGCCAAGAUGGAUCUCCUGGAGCCGGCAGAACCCUGGCAGGAGGUACUAUUGCUGCGUGGAUGCUAUGCAUGGUGGUUGUGGAUUUGUGGAGUGGCAUGAUGAUCCUUUGCCGAAAUUUUGGAGUGAGCUGAUUGGGGAUCUGCGUGAUGAAGUCUGGAGGCUUAAAGGCGCUGCAACCGUUGCUCGAUCUGAAGGUCAAUUUGCAAUGGUAGCUCCCAGUGAAGAUCAAGCCACAAGGGAGGCCACGGUUCUGUCUCUGCUAGAUCAACUAAGAGAGAAGAAUGAAGAGAUAGCUGGGAUUAGGGCCAAAUAUCAUAAUGUGGUGUUUCUUUUUACUAUAUUUGUGCUUGGUUUAGUUGCAAGCAAGAUGUUAAGUUAG
rnacentral:rRNA from 1 species